rnacentral:rRNA from 1 species
GCAGAACGCGAAGAACCUUACCAAGGCUUGACAUGGAUUUCUAAGCGCGUGAAAGCGCGUGACCCUUCGGGGGACUUCCACAGGUGCUGCAUGGCCGUCGUCAGCUCGUGUCGUGAGAUGUUGGGUUAAGUCCCGCAACGAGCGCAACCCUUGUGACUAGUUGCCAGCGCGUCAUGGCGGGAACUCUAGUCAGACUGCCCAGAUCAACUGGGAGGAAGGUGGGGACGACGUCAGGUCAGUAUGGCCCUUACGCCUUGGGCUGCACACGUACUACAAUGCCCAGCACAAUGAGAACCGAUGCCGCGAGGUGGAGGAAAUCUGGAAAACUGGGCCCAGUUCGGAUUGGAGGCUGCAACUCGCCUCCAUGAAGUUGGAAUCGCUAGUAAUGGCGCAUCAUCCACGGCGCCGUGAAUACGUUCCCGGGUCUUGUACACACCG